UUUGAUCUGAAAUUUAAAAUAUAUUAUUCUGAAUGAUUUAAAAUAUGACUAGAAUAUGUUGAAAUUUUAUAUAUGUUGAAAACAUGAUUUUUAUUUGAAUUUAGAAGGCUAUUUCCUUGUAUUAAAAACUUAUCUCCCAGUCCCUCUUUUAAUGUCUUAUGAUUUGUAGUCAAAUUUAGAACGUUAUUUCUUUGUAUUAA
rnacentral:lncRNA from 1 species